rnacentral:rRNA from 1 species
UGCGUAGGGUCCGAGCGUUGUCCGGAAUUACUGGGCGUAAAGAGCUCGUAGGUGGUUUGUCGCGUUGUUCGUGAAAACUCACAGCUCAACUGUGGGCGUGCGGGCGAUACGGGCAGACUGGAGUACUGCAGGGGAGACUGGAAUUCCUGGUGUAGCGGUGGAAUGCGCAGAUAUCAGGAGGAACACCGGUGGCGAAGGCGGGUCUCUGGGCAGUAACUGACGCUGAGGAGCGAAAGCGUGGGGAGCGAACAGG